AAAAUUCAAUUAAACCAUCACUUAUCUUUAAAAAUCAGAUGAUUAGUUGUGAAUUUCAAAGUGCUAGUGACUGAAAUUUUUACUCCUGUUGGGUUUCCUGAUGCAGUGUAGGAGGAACCCUUGAACAGAAGUACACACAUGUGUGCACUCUUGUACACAUAUGCACCUGAAUGUGUGUACUCAAGCAUAUACAUGCACACCACACACAUGCACAACCAGAAUGUGUGCACUCAUGCACACCAGAGCACACAUACAGAUGUGUUCACACUACACAGAUGCAGGAUCCACUUACACACAUGUGCAAAUGAGAGCACACACAUAUACAUUGCACAUAGUGUACCAGGACACAUACAUAUAUACACACAUGUAUAUGUGUGUGUGUAUAUAUAUAUAGAUAGAUAGAUAGAUAGCAGAGCACACAGGUGUGUGCAUAUUACACAGAGGCACAGUAAGUACACAGAUGUGUGUACAGUAUACUCAUGCACACACAGUCAUACAUGUAUGCAUACACCAGGGUCUUCUGAAGUCCAGGCCAACAGCCCCAUCAGGCAUCCAGGAUGCAUGCCAAACCUGGCCACACUGAACUUUGCCCCUUGCCAUGACAUUAGCAGCAUAGGAUAGCAUGGAUAGGGCCUACUGGAGGGCCCUGGUUGGUGCUGAUCUGCUCCUCAUACCCAGGCAGGGAGCAGCAGGUGGAGCAGACCCUCUGCAGUGUCUGCACAGCUCUGAGGGGCCCAGAGUGGAGGGCUGGGGCUGGGUCAGCUGCAGGUCCCAGCUCCACACUGAGUGACGGCACCAUCUUUCAGUGGCUUCCAAAGUUGCUCCCACCCAAAGCACCUCUUACUAAGAUGCCAGAGGAAAGCAGCACAUGGCAGAGACUCAGGCAGUGAGACCCAGGCAGGUAAGUGAACACUAGCACUGCCCCUCUUCUCUGCUGCAACAGACACAGGUGUAAGUUCCCAGUGACUGUCCUGGCCUAAUUUGCUGCCUUUUAGUAUUGCAGUCAAGAAAAAAAAAUCAACAAAAUGGGAAAGAAAUAAUUUAGGAAAAUAGAAUGCAACUGUCCUUAUGUCCACAGAGCUCUGCCUUCCUGUAUAGCUCCUGGGCUGGCAGGAGAGACCUUGUCCCACGACAGAUGUGCUCAUCCUAGUUUUCUUGAGGUCUUGGUGUCUUUUUUGUGUGUGGUACCAGGGAUUGAACUCGGGUCCUUGCAGUUGCGAGUCAGGCAGGGGAACCACAGCUAAAUCCCCGGCCCAGGUCUUAGCGUCUUGACAGGACUCUGACACGGACUGCGUCUCCCAAGAGACUCCAUCUCUCAUGGCUCAAGGAGCCAGCUGUCACCUUCUUACCCAUUAUCCAGGCAUCCUCAAUGGCAUGUCACUGUCAGGCCGAUACAGCGUGCCUUACAACAUCUGUGCUCUUCUGGCCACUGGCCUUUUUCUGGCCGAUGGUGGCAGAAGGUGCUGGGUGCCUGAAUUGCUCUGGGACUUUCACUCCCAGGUGAGUGGACACUGGCCCUCACAGCUUCAGCCUUCCUUCCUCGGUGCCUGCUGUGCCAUGGCCCCACUAUAGUUUGUUUUCUUUUGAUGUGAUUUCUACGUUACCUGGGACCUCUUUCUUCAUCUGUACUCUGUCUUGUUGCUUUAGUCAAAAACAUUGGAGGACAGGAGACCUCAGGGGUCCCAGUGAUCCUCUCUGGGCAAUUCAGGGAUGGGGGGGGGGGCGGGGAGCUGACCAGGGCCUAUGUUGGAAUGUAGAUGAUGGGAUGCAGGUGACAGGCUGCAGGUGGCAGGAUGGAGGUAGUGGGAUGCUGGUGAAGGGAUGCAGGUGAUGGGGUGCAAAUGAAAGAAAGUAGGUGCUAGGAUGCAGAUGAGGGCAUACCGGUGUUGGGAUACAGGUAAUGAUACAGGUGACAGGAGGUAGGUGAUGGCUGCAGGUGCUAGGAUGUAGGUGUUAGAACACAAGUGACAGGAUGAAGGUGAUGGGAUUCAGGUGAUGGGAUGUUAGGGGUUGAGAUGCAGGUGAUAUAAUGCAGGUGAUAGUAUACAUGUGGUAGGGUGCAGGUGAUAGGGUGCAGGUAAGGGGAUACAGAGGAUAGAAUGCAGGUGGUAAGAUGAUGCAGGUGGUAGGGUGCAGGUGAUGGGAUGUAAGUGUUAGGAUGGAGAUAACAGGAUGCAAGUUAGGGAUUCAGGUAACAGAAUGCUGCUGUUGGGAUGCAGGUCAUCAGAUGCAGGUGUUGAGAUGCAGGUAGUACGAUUGAGGUGAUAGGAUGCAGAUGAUGGGCUGCAGGUUAGAAGGUGCAGGCGAUAAUAUACAAGUGGCAGAUAUAGGUGGUCAUAGGCAGUUGGUAGAAUGCAAGUGGCAGGACACAGGUUAACACCAAUGCACACAGUUACAAAUGUUCAGUAAUCUCCCUUUUCCAUGGCUUUGUUUUCUGCAGUUUCUUUUAUUCAUGGUUGAAUAAGUCUGAAAAUAUUAAAUGGAAAAUUACAGAAAGAUGCAAUCCACACGUUUUUAGUUGUGCUCCUUUUUUGUACCAUCCCACUCUUCCUUUGAGACUUGAAUAAACCCUUUUUCCUGUAUCUCCCUAUAUGCAACCUGUCUGCCCACUAGUCACUAAGUAGCCUUCUUGACUACCAGAUGGGGUGUUGUAGUACUACAGGGCUUGUAUUCUAGCAACUCUUACAUUUAACUUAAUAAUGGCCCUAAGGCACAAGAGUAGGAAUGCUGGCACUUCAGAUGUGCCAAAGCAAAGCUGUAAAGCGUUUCCUUUAAGUGAAAAGGUGAAAGUUAUUGAAUUAGAAAAGAAAAAAAUCAUAUUCUAAGAUAUGCAGAAAAAACAAAUUUAUUCAAGAAAUUGUAAAGGGAAAAGAAAUUCAUGCUAGUUUUGCCAUUACACUUCAAACUGCAAAAGUUACAGUGACAGUACAUGAUGAGUGCUUAAUUUAGAUGGAAAAGUCAUUAAAUUUGGGGGUGGAAAACAUGAACAGAUCAGGUGUUCCAACUGAUGGCAAGGUAGUUUGUGCUAGAGGGCAUUGAUCCUAUACAAAGACUUCAGCAGGGACACCUUGAAAUAAGUGACACUCAUCCACUUAUUGGAUUUGACUGAAAAUUAGUUAUUAUUGUUAAUCUCUUACUGUGCCUAAUUUAUAAAUUAUACCUUUCAUAAGGAUGUGUGUAUAAGAAAACACAUAGUGUAUGUAGGGUUUGGUACUAUAGAACAUAUUUCCUGCAGUGUGGCUAGGAUGCAGCCAGAGGUUGAGGUAGGUGCAAGCAGUACCAUGCAGGUGGUAGGGACACUGAGCAGGACGCAGAUGGUUGUGUGCACACAGUAUAACACAGGUGCACAGGUGGGAGGCACACAGUAGGAUGCAGGAGGUGGGAUGCACACAGCAGGUUGCAGGCCUACUUGAUAGAAUGCAGGGGUUUGGUGAAGAGAAAGAAAAGCAAUACACAGUCCCACCCUGAUAUGGCCACACCUGUCUCUGCUCUUCCUGAACUGAGAGGCUUCAUGGCAGUGCAUGCUCAUAUUCAUUCACUGAGGACACUCACAAGGUGCCUACUAUGUGCAGACCGGCAUUGAUGUGGAAAUGGGUAGAUGUCCUCUCCCUUCUAGAAGUGGCAGCAGGACCCCCAAGAAGCUCCUGGACCUCAGGGUAUGUGGGAAGGAAAGUGUCCCUGGUUGGGCAACAAGGCUUCUUGCACUAGACCACAGGUGUUCAGGGACUGGACCAGAGAUGCCAGGUGAAUCUCCUGAAAGGAAGGCAGGCAGGCAGGGAGGGAGGAGGGGAUAACCUUUUGGAAAGUACCUUAGGCUUACUUGCAGAUUUCUUCAGAUAACAGCACAUGACUGAGUUAUUUUGCAGACUAGGCCUCCGAUGCUGGGAGGAUACUGCUCGGGGGGUCAUAGUCUGUUUCUCAGGGCCCUCAGAGCUGGCCUCUGCCAGUUCAUUUUAGAAGCUGCCUCCCCCCUGCUCUCUGCCCUCCCA
ensembl:lncRNA